UAGUCCCUCUCCUCCCCCAGCCCUAACCCCAGAGGGACCUGACCUGACUCCCUGAGCAUGAUAGACAGCUGAGAGGCUUCUCUGCAGCUUAGGAGCUGGGGACUCCAUUUGUCACCCUGGCUAGCUCUGUGCCCACACUGAAAAAGUCUCCUAGAGACAUAGUAUCUAUCAUCCCAAGAUGAGUACCGACACUGCUCCUGGAUGAGGCUGCCCCACUUGGAGCAGGUCACUGCCCACCUCUGGACUGGAAGGUGCUGAGAACUCAAGGACAGAAAGAAAACAGUCAAGGGUCACAGGGUCAUGCCAGACCCAGGUCUCCAAAUCCCAAGGUUGCCAGGACCAGAUGGGAAGUGGGAAGUAGAGAAGUGGCAGGGGCAGAGGUCACAGGGUAGCUGAAGGGCAUCCUGCCUGCAGCCUGGUGGACGUGAAGGCUGGGAGAGCAGGACUUUGUCACUAAGACCCUGUGCUUAGUCUUCCCCAUCCCCACCCCUUACCUACUCACAGCAUGCGGCCUGAGCCUGCUGAUUCCAGCAAGGAUGCUUCCAGGAGACUGAGGAGGGGCCUGACAUUACCAAUCACCUCUGGGGGAUGUGGGGGUGGCUUGGGCAGCAGCAUGGGCUGACACUGCCAUCUGUCCCUCCCUUCAUAGCAGUGCCCAGCAGGGCUCUGACUCAACCUUAGUUGCUCUCAGUCAUCUUUGGAGCUGAGUCAGUGGUUGGUUGGGUGAUGAGCCCUCUCACCCUGGAAGUGGGGCAUGAAAAAGAGGGGGGAGAGAGGGAGGAAAGGAAGGAGGAAGGGCAGGAGGGAUAAAGAAAGAGACAGACAGACAAAGAGACUGAGAGAGACAGAGACAGAGAGAGUAUGUUCCUGGGGGCUGUGUGAGAGGGACCCGGCUGCUCUGAUAUCUCUGAGCUACAUGAUCCUUGGCAGUUGCCUCUGUUCCUGAGGGCGGGGAUGGGCUGUUCUGCUAGGGAGAGCUCGUGUGGAGCACCUGGCUUGAGUACCUUAGGAGGCUCAGAAGACGUAGCUCUCCUCUGCACUAGCACAUGCAGAAGUAGGAGUGAAAAGGGAGUGUCUGGAUGCAGGGGUGGGGGUGGAGGGAGACACUGGCUCACCAGCACUCUGCUUUGUCUCCGGUCGGUAUCUCUCUUUGACUCUGAAUCCCUCUGUGUAUCUCUCUCUUCCUAUGGUCUUCUGUCCCUCAGAGCAGCAGUUUGCAUCUCUCAAAAAGGCCAGAGGACCAGGAGUUGCUUGUACAGGCGGCAUGAAAAAGACCAGCUGGGGAGGGGAGUUCCUUCAACGGGCCCAUGCCCUUUGCUGUCCUCCCUACAGGACCCCCAUCUUUGGGUCUGACCAGGCUGCAUCCUCACAGUCUAAUGGCAUCUUAACUCAGAUUUACAAGCCAACUUUCCCACCUCUGCAACGCUAAAGGCAUCAGAGAGAGCUAGCUCCUUCUGCAAGGUGUAGCCAGUGCUGAUCAGCAUGACCCGUGUGGACCUCCUAAGCUACAGACAGGAUCUUGUUGGCCUAGAAGUCACCAAGUAUGGCAGGCUGGCUGGCCAGGGAGGCUCAGGGAUCCAUCUUUCUCCACUUCCCAGUGCUGGGAUUGCAGCAACAGACAACAAAGUAAUAUGGAGGAGAAGAAUCUGAACUCUGGUGCCGACUUCCGGGUUUGGGUUCCAACUCUCUCAUGUACUAUUUGGCGUGAAACAGCUGCCUGAGCGGACCAUAGGCUUCUCUUUCACAAUGGAUAAAGAGGGCCUAGGAGGCCUCCCAAGCUCACAUAACGGGAUGCAGAAGACAGGUGCCACCCAGGACUGCCUCACUACGGACUUUCUGUUCCUGUUCCCAUGGCACACUGUCAGGAAGGACUCCAUCCCCAGCAAAGACCUGAGGAGGAAAAGUGUCUUUGUGUUCAGAGAAGAAAGCUGAAGUAUGGAGGUCUACUACUCCAAAGGUGGUGGAUUCUAGGGCUGGAGAAUACUGUGCUAUUCAAGUAAUGUCCUUAGAAAGUUCCGUGCUCCUGAGGUGGGCUGUUUAUCAUCAGGCUCCUCAGGACUCACCCAUCUCUUUCUUUACCUGUGUUCUUGGUGUUAUAUGGCUGACCAGCUUCUCCUUCCAGGAGUACAGCUGAUGUCCUGUGUCACCGAAGUCCCCAGAAGCCCUCAGCAUAGACAUGAACCCUUUUCAGAUCUGGCUCUGGUCGAAGGGCGUAGCUGGAAACAGACAUAGGAAGAUACCCCCUAUUCCCACCUUGUCACCCACAUUCACAUCAGACUCUAACAAGAAACCAACUCUAGUAAGUCACCAAGCUUUAGGAAGGCUUGUCACACAGAAGUCACUCUCUCUCUCUCUCUCUCUCUCUCUCUCUCUCUCUCUCUCUUUCUCUCUCUCUCUCACACACACACACACACACACACACACACACUCUCUCUUUCUCUCUCACACACACACAUACUCUCUCUUUCACACACACACACACACUCCCUCUCUCUCUCACACACACACACACUCUCCCUCUCUCCUCUCUCUCUCUCACACACACACAUACUCCCUCCCUCCCUCCCCCUCUCUCUCUCUUUUUCGCACACACACACACAUACUCUCCCUCUCUCUCUCUCUCACACACACGCACAUACUCCCUCCCUCUCUCUCUCUCUGUCUCUCUCUCUCUCACACACACACACACACUCACACACACACAUACUCUCUCUCUUUUUCACACACACACACUCCCUCUCUCUCUCUCUCACACACACACACACACACUCACACUCCCUCUCUCUCUGUCUCUCUCUCUCUCUCUCUCUCUCACACACACACACACACACACACACACACACACACACACACACUCACACACCCCACACACCACCCCACACCCCUCAGGGACAUUUGCCACAGGGAGCAAGUUUGUCCUAAAAGUUACUUCCCUUCCCUGUGAUUCUGGAAUCAUCUUCCAUGUUGUGGACAUCCAAAUGCUAGACCGAGUGCUCCAGUGGGCCUCCAUCCCAGGGACAGCUGGGGUCUCCUCUGGAAGUUGGAAUCAAUGGCCUCUCUUCCUUGGCUGGUGCAUUUGCUUCUCUGUCAUGUCACCAUCUUUCCUCCUUCCAUCCCUGAUGGUGGAAGCAGCUGCCAAGAUAAAUUGGGGCCUCGCUGCCAGAAAA